GCCCGGGUGGCGGAAUUGGCAGACGCGCUAGACUAAGGAUCUAGUGGGAUAAUACCCGUGCUGGUUCGAUUCCAGUUCCGGGCACCA
rnacentral:tRNA from 1 species